AAGUCGUAACAAGGUCUCCGUUGGUGAACCAGCGGAGGGAUCAUUACCGAGUUCUACAAAACUCCCAACCCUUUGUGAACCUUACCGUCGUUGCCUCGGCGCCGAGCGGCGGCUACCCGGGAAGCUACCCUGGAGACCACCUACCCUGUAGGUGGCUACCCUGGAGCUACCCUGUAGUUGCGCUUUACGCUCCGCCGGAGGACCACCAAACUCUUGUUUUUUUGAUGGUGUAUCUCUGAAAACAAAACAAAAUAAGUUAAA
rnacentral:misc_RNA from 1 species